ACAUUCAUAACCGAGCGACUGUUC
rnacentral:ncRNA from 2 species